UCUCCAGUCCCGUUCCCGUGCUUCUCUUCACGUGGAAUCGAGCCGAAGCUCUCUAGACUCGGGCAAGAGGAGGUUUUGACUAGGCCGAUUGGCAUCCCCUCCUUUCACACUACGACAUUGGCAAGCCUUCCGCCCUAGCUCCCUCCGGAUCGCUCCCUCUCUCGUUUUCUCGCUGGAUUCGCACAAUCCAGAGUCUCGGAACUCUCUGUUCGCACGCCUCCUCUAGAUAUGUCCACUUUUAGCUUUACCACGACAUACACAUCAGACUCAAAUGACAUUGAUUGUGACAUUUUGUGAGAGGGUUCAUUUCAUAAGUAUGGAUGAACUGUAUACAUUUUCUUAAGCGAAUUUUCAUAUAUGAGGCUAUCAAAAUUUCAUAUGAUUCAUGUCAACUUCUUUUUGUGGUCUAUGUUAGAAAAUCUAUACAUGUGUGUGAUGAAG